rnacentral:rRNA from 1 species
GACGAACGCUGGCGGCGUGCUUAACACAUGCAAGUCGAACGGAAAGGCCCUGCUUUUGUGGGGUGCUCGAGUGGCGAACGGGUGAGUAACACGUGAGUAACCUGCCCUUGACUUUGGGAUAACUUCAGGAAACUGGGGCUAAUACCGGAUAGGAGCUCCUGCUGCGUGGUGGGGGUUGGAAAGUUUCGGCGGUUGGGGAUGGACUCGCGGCUUAUCAGCUUGUUGGUGGGGUAGUGGCUUACCAAGGCUUUGACGGGUAGCCGGCCUGAGAGGGUGACCGGCCACAUUGGGACUGAGAUACGGCCCAGACUCCUACGGGAGGCAGCAGUGGGGAAUAUUGCACAAUGGGCGGAAGCCUGAUGCAGCAACGCCGCGUGCGGGAUGACGGCCUUCGGGUUGUAAACCGCUUUCGCCUGUGACGAAGCGUGAGUGACGGUAAUGUGUAAAGAAGCACCGGCUAACUACGUG